AGCCCCGGAGCCUUUCAGGGCUCAUCUUUAAAUUUGCAUUUUAAUGUAGUCUACCUCAGGGCU
rnacentral:tRNA from 1 species